AGUGUGUAGUGUCUGGGGUUGGUAGUGGGGUUAGUGUAGUGUUUAGUGUGUAGUGUCUGGGGUGGUAGUGGGGUUAGUGAGUGUGUGGUGUCUGGGGUUGGUGGUGGGGAUAGUGUAGUGUGUAGUGUCUGGGUUGGUAGUGGGGUUGGUGUAGUGUGUAGUGGCUGGGGUUGGUAGUGGGGUUAGUGUAGUGUGUAGUAUCUGGGGAUGCUAGUGGGGAUAGUGUAGUGUGUAGUGUCUGGGGUUGUGGGGUUAGUGUAGUGUGUAGUGUCUGGGGUUGGUCGUGGGGAUAGUAUAGUGUGUAGUGUGUAGUGUCUGGGGUUGGUCGUGGGGAUGGUAUAGUGUGGAGUGUGUAGUGUCUGGGGUUGGUAGUGGGGUUAGUGUAGUGUGUAGUGUCUGGGGAUGGAAUUGGGGUUAGUGUGGUGUGUAGGGUCUGGGGUUGGUGGUGGGGAUAGUGUAGUGCGUAGUGUCUGGGGUUGGUAGUGGGGAUCGUGUAGUGUGUAGUAUCUGGAGUUGGUGGUGGGGUUAGUGUAGUGUGCAGUGUCUGGGGUUGGUAGUGGGGUUAGUGUAGUGUGUAGUGUGUCGUGUCUGGGGCUGGUAGUGGUGUUGUUGUAGUGUGUAGUGUCUGGGGUUAGUAGUGGUAGUGGUGUUGUUGUAGUGUGUAGUGUCUGGGGUUGGUAGUGGUAGUGGUGUUGUUGUAGUGUGUACUAGAGGUCGACCGAUUAUGAUCUUUCAACGCCGAUAUCGAUUCUGAUUAUAUGAGGACCAAAACAAUCCGAUACCAAUU
ensembl:lncRNA